CUUGAUAAUAGUCCCGAGUCAGUCGCAUUCGCACUCGCACUCGCACUCGCACUUGAAUUUGUACUCGGCCGUCUCAAGUGUUCUGUUUCACAGUUAUAAAUCAUAGUAUUAUGUGUAGUACAUUGUAUAUGCAUAUCGAAUAACGGUUUUUUGCGUGUUUUGCCAGCGAAACGAAGCAGCUGGCAAACGUGGAACUUACAAAACAACAGUUCGCAUCCGUGUGUGUUUUGUCUCUCUCUGCAGGCGAUUAUUUAAUUUAGCGUGAUUGGGCGAGAGGGAGAGAUCAAAAGAUAGUGUGAGAGAGAGAGAGAGAAGUGCGUGUGCCGGUGAGCCAAACCCUCUUUAAUUGUGCAAUGUGCCAGAACACGUUUUAAUCAAAGUCAAAGGUCAUUAUUAUUACAACUAUUAUCAUCGUAAUUAGCCGCCCCUAACAAAGUAACUGUGUGACCAGCAAGUUCAACGCUCAGCUGUUAUCGCUGCAACAGCAACAACAACAACAAUAACAACAACAAAAAUAAAUAUUCCAACUGUUAACGAGACUACAACAAGAACUACAAAAUGUGUUGCAUGCGCUAUUUGACGGAGACUCAUUUGAGGGGUUUCGAACGUUACAAGUACAGCAGCAUAGACACAAGUUUUCUCAGUGUCUAUGUUAUGCACCCCUUCUGGAAUGUCUGCGUAAAAUACGUUCCCAUGUGGAUGGCACCCAAUAUUCUCACAUUUGUGGGAUUUCUGAUGACCGUCGUGAAUUUCAUAUUGAUAGCUUAUUACGAUUGGAAUUUUGAUGCUGCCAAUGAUAAGUCUAUAGGGAAUACUGUACCUGGUUGGGUAUGGACUGUGGCUGCAAUUAACAUACUAAUCUAUUAUAAUUUGGAUGGCAUGGAUGGCAAGCAGGCGCGUCGUACGGGGACUAGCGGACCUUUGGGAGAGCUUUUUGAUCACGGAUUGGAUUCGUAUUCGGCAGCGCUUAUUCCCAUCUAUAUCUUUUCAUUAUUCGGCACGGUUGAUCUGCCGCCAAUACGCAUGUUUUUCGUUAUUUGGAACGUCUUUCUCAACUUUUAUUUUACACACGUUGAGAAGUAUAAUACAGGCGUUAUGUUUUUGCCUUGGGGUUACGACUUUACCAUGUGGGGAGUCAGCAUAAUGAUGUUUGUCGCCACUCUCGUUGGUCCAGAGAUUUAUCGCACCAGCUUCUACGAUAUAACUAUUGCAAACGUGUUCGAAGUGGGACUUAUUGGCUCUGGCAUGCUUUCCAGCCAUCCGAUUAUUAUAAGGAACAUCUAUUUAUCAUACAAAAAUAAGACGGGAAGAAUGCGUCCCCCAAUGGAAAUGCUCCGUCCAUUCUUUGCCUUCGUCUGGCUCUUUGUGAUCACCUUGAUCUGGUCGUUCUACUCGCGGAAUAAUGUAAUCAAUCUUGAACCUCGCGUACUCUGGAUGCUUUAUGGCACAAUCUUUUCGAAUAUUGCUUGCCGUCUAAUUGUCGCUCAAAUGUCAGAUACUCGCUGUGAUGCAUUCAAUAUACUUAUGUGGCCCUUGGCAGCCACUGUGGGAGUUUGCUGUUUUCCCUGGUAUGAAGAGGUCUUCGGCAUUGAUCUGACACCUCAAGGAGAACGCUGGCUCGUUCAUGGACUGACCAUAUUCUGCACAUUAGCACACUGGCAUUAUGGCUAUGGAGUGGUCACGGAAAUGUGUAAUCACUUCAAUAUCAAUUGUUUCAAAGUAAGAAAAACUCGCAGCGAUUCGGUUGAGAAAUUGUUACAUUCAUCGCAGAAUAAUAACAAAUUGUUGAAAACCCAUUGAAAACUAAUUGCAUACUAACCACAAAAUGAAACAUCGAAAAAGAAAACAAAUCAAAUCAACGACAAAAAGGGGUCACCAUUUUGUAUGUGAUAUAAUAAUAAUAUUUAUUUGGGUCUCACAAAAUUCAAUUUCGCCUCGCCAAAAAAACUGGUCUACACAUAUUUUUAAGCGAUCCCCAUACACAAUUCGAAAAGUUUUCAUGCGCCGCAUAAAAUUCUAUGAUUAAAAAACAACCAGUCAAUGCUGUGCAGGAACUUGCUGAUACCAAUGGCACGCAACCAGAAACGGAACCCGUUGAGGAAGUGUAGUGUAUGGAUUCCAUUUACCAUUAUUUUAGGCGCCAUUCUUAAGUACAGUUGUGUGUGUGUGAGCAUUUGCAAACUGUUUUUUGUUCUAGGUUAAGUUGAACUCGAACCAAAAAUGUAACUGUUAAGUACAAAAGAAAAAGAAAGCUUUCAUCUAUGUGCCUUAUUCAAGACCCAUUAAUGUAGGCAGCAAAAGCUUUCGCACGAAAGCUUUGUUUGGUUGCGUACUUGGUCCGCCAGAGGGCGUAUGUUUCUGAACUGUUUGUGCUGAAUAAAUUUCAUAAAUUGUAAAAUGAAUUUUGACGUUUUUCUAUUAAAUAUUAUAC